rnacentral:rRNA from 1 species
CUGCCCCGGAGCGGGGGAUAACAUUUGGAAACAGAUGCUAAUACCGCAUAACAACAAAAGCCACAUGGCUUUUGUUUGAAAGAUGGCUUUGGCUAUCACUCUGGGAUGGACCUGCGGUGCAUUAGCUAGUUGGUAAGGUAACGGCUUACCAAGGCGAUGAUGCAUAGCCGAGUUGAGAGACUGAUCGGCCACAAUGGAGCUGAGACACGGUCCAUACUCCUACGGGAGGCAGCAGUAGGGAAUCUUCCACAAUGGGCGCAAGCCUGAUGGAGCAACACCGCGUGAGUGAAGAAGGGUUUCGGCUCGUAAAGCUCUGUUGUUGGAGAAGAACGUGCGUGAGAGUAACUGUUCACGCAGUGACGGUAUCCAACCAGAAAGUCACGGCUAACUACGUGCCAGCAGCCGCGGUAAUACGUAGGUGGCAAGCGUUAUCCGGAUUUAUUGGGCGUAAAGCGAGCGCAGGCGGUUGCUUAGGUCUGAUGUGAAAGCCUUCGGCUUAACCGAAGAAGUGCAUCGGAAACCGGGCGACUUGAGUGCAGAAGAGGACAGUGGAACUCCAUGUGUAGCGGUGGAAUGCGUAGAUAUAUGGAAGAACACCAGUGGCGAAGGCGGCUGUCUGGUCUGCAACUGACGCUGAGGCUCGAAAGCAUGGGUAGCGAACAGGAUUAGAUACCCUGGUAGUCCAUGCCGUAAAC